rnacentral:rRNA from 1 species
GAUGAACGCUGGCGGCGUGCUUAACACAUGCCAGUCGAACGGUGAACACGGAGCUUGCUCUGUGGGAUCAGUGGCGAACGGGUGAGUAACACGUGAGCAACCUGCCCCUGACUCUGGGAUAAGCGCUGGAAACGGCGUCUAAUACUGGAUAUGUGACGUGACCGCAUGGUCUGCGUUCGGAAAGAUUUUUCGGUUGGGGAUGGGCUCGCGGCCUAUCAGCUUGUUGGUGAGGUAAUGGCUCACCAAGGCGUCGACGGGUAGCCGGCCUGAGAGGGUGACCGGCCACACUGGGACUGAGACACGGCCCAGACUCCUACGGGAGGCAGCAGUGGGGAAUAUUGCACAAUGGGCGCAAGCCUGAUGCAGCAACGCCGCGUGAGGGAUGACGGCCUUCGGGUUGUAAACCUCUUUUAGCAGGGAAGAAGCGAAAGUGACGGUACCUGCAGAAAAAGCGCCGGCUAACUACGUG